rnacentral:rRNA from 1 species
AUUGAACGCUGGCGGCAGGCCUAACACAUGCAAGUCGAGCGGUAACACAGAGAGCUUGCUCUCGGGUGACGAGCGGCGGACGGGUGAGUAAUGUCUGGGAAACUGCCUGAUGGAGGGGGAUAACUACUGGAAACGGUAGCUAAUACCGCAUAACGUCGCAAGACCAAAGAGGGGGACCGUCGGGCCUCUUGCCAUCAGAUGUGCCCAGAUGGGAUUAGCUAGUAGGUGGGGUAACGGCUCACCUAGGCGACGAUCCCUAGCUGGUCUGAGAGGAUGACCAGCCACACUGGAACUGAGACACGGUCCAGACUCCUACGGGAGGCAGCAGUGGGGAAUAUUGCACAAUGGGCGCAAGCCUGAUGCAGCCAUGCCGCGUGUAUGAAGAAGGCCUUCGGGUUGUAAAGUACUUUCAGCGGGGAGGAAGGUGCUGAGGUUAAUAACCUCAGCAAUUGACGUUACCCGCAGAAGAAGCACCGGCUAACUCCGUGCCAGCCGCCGCAGUAA